AAGGGAGACCUAAUUCAGGUAUGGGACGAAAAAAAAGUAGUCGCUACCAAGAAUCAAUCCCAAAAGGUCGGAGCGAGGUAUGAGGCUUUCAAACUAGGUUCUGGGUUCAUAAAAGACCUGAAUCAGGAACAAGGGCUAUUAGCUCAGGUGGUUAGAGCGCACCCCUGAUAAGGGUGAGGUCCCUGGUUCGAGUCCAGGAUGGCCCACCUGCACAGGUGGCAAAAACAAGAGAAGCGAGGAAUCAGCACCUUAUCUUAUAUACAUAUAUAAGAGAGAAUGCUGGCUCUGAGUACAGAGUCCAGAGGAACCUUGAAAACUGCAUAGAGCUAGGUGAAAAAGCCAAAAAAGAAGACCGCAA
rnacentral:tRNA from 1 species